AACUUGCUAUGACCUAAGCCUAAAUGACUUAAUUUCUUUUUAGAAUUAAGACAACCUUAGCAGGAGAGCCCCAGCAGUAACUUUCUCUCAAGCAGAUGAGCAAUAAGUUGCUUUGUAUGAACACCACCCUAACAAUCAAGUAGCCUGUUAACAGUAGACCAAAGGUAUGAUGAUCAAUUAUAAAUGCAAUAUGGUUGAAAGGUCAGUAAACAAACAACAAAAAGGUAAUUUCUUAAUAGAAUGUCUAUACAUUUUUUGCUUUUGUUACAUAUUUCAUACAUCAAAAUCAUUAAACGUUAAUAAUUAUGUAUUCCAACUUGUUGCAGCUUGACAAAAAUGUAGCUUGAAGGAGAAGGGACAGCUGAGUAACAAAGUCCUGGUACGCAGACGACGAUACUAUUACACUGACAAGAGUGUAAUGAUGAUGGAGACACAAGCCAGAGAAAGGGGGACCAAACACCAGGCCAGAAUUCUGCAUGAGUCAGAUCCAGUGGGUGCAGAUCAUCAUACAGAUGGUUCAAGUGUGGAUCCACCUAAUAUUCAAGAUUUUCUGUCCUGGGACACUCGGCUAACCAUCAAGAAAGAACACACUCCAGUGGGCAUCCUUUAUCCAUCCAGACCCUCAUACAGAUGGUUGGAGUUUUGAUUCACCUAAAGUACCAUGCAAGAGCACUCAUUUUCCCUCUUGAGACCAUGGUGUGACCUGCAAGGUCGAAUGGAGACUGUAAACGAGACAAUCUUGGAGUCACCUGCAUUCACUGGUCCAGUUGUUAGUCCAAUUACAGAUGGAGAUUAUAGAAGAGGAUGAUGUCUUUUCUCCAACAUCUUUCUAGACUGAUAAAAGAUCUAGACAGGCUCAAACAAAAGUUAACAGACAGAGGGGCUUAUAUAGAGAAUGGUGAGCAGCUACACAUAAAAGAAGAACAUGGAGAAUCUGCCCAGAGGUGUUAACCAGCAAUGCAGCUAUACAACUAAAUUGAUGCAGGCUGAAACAAUGUGUAAUGCAGCUGCUGCAGAUGAAGAAUCCGUCCGUCUAGCACUGAAGGAGACGCGGAAAAUCGGGAAAAGAUGUUCUUUGCCCGAGGAAGCA